rnacentral:rRNA from 1 species
UACGAAGGGGGGCUAGCGUUGCUCGGAAUCACUGGGCGUAAAGGGUGCGUAGGCGGGUCUUUAAGUCAGGGGGUGAAAUCCUGGAGCUCAACUCCAGAACUCGCCUUUGAUACUGAAGAUCUUGAGUUCGGGAGAUGGGUGAGUGGAACUGCGAGUGUAGAGGUGAAAUUCGAUAGAUAUUCGCAAGAACACCAGUGGCGAAGGCGGCUCACUGGCCCGAUACUGACGCUGAGGCACGAAAGCGUGGGGAGCAAACAGG